AAAGCCUUUCCUCGCCUCCUUUUGCUGCUGUUGCUUUUGUUUCAGGAGCCUUGGUGGCUGCCUUUUCUUCCAUGAUAGCUCAUAAAAACUGCAUGUAUUUGACAACAAGACUACUUCCCUGAAGUUUGAAGAGAGGACAUCAAAAUUAUGAAUGUCUAAUCCUAAAUGUGGCACCGGCUUCAUAAUGGCAUAAGGAAGUCACAUGUUACUCAAUCCAUUGGGACUUAAGGAUGGCAGCGUAUGCGAGAGAUGCUGGAUUUAAUGUGGACGUUGGAAGACAGGCAGAUGGCUGGGAGGCAGAUGAAAAGGGCAGUGCAUACCCAAGGU
rnacentral:lncRNA from 1 species